GAGCCACCUGACAUUUGUGUGUGGUCUAAUUGCCUGACACCCAGCCAAACACCUGUAUUCAGGGUCAGCAGAGGCAGUUGGCUCCAGGAAAUGCAAGGAGUCCACCAGAGACCUUCCAGGAGGCAUUAGGCCUCCUACCAAAAGUCAGGUACCUUUCCUGUCUCAUUUUGCCCAUCAUUGUUCAUUUUCCUUCCUGUCCCCAGUGUGUCUAACCCUAGAAAGUUGUAGAUGCCAUCCCUUUCCAUCCUUGGGGAGGCUUAGUAUAUUGAGCACCACCUGAACAAUCCAGUGUCAUGAUGACACACACUGAGGCAAAGUAAAUGAGGCAAAAGCACCCUGUAUACCAGGGUGGGCCAAAAUGAAAAUUCUCAAUACAGCUUGGUGCCCAUGCAGUUAGUGGUAGAUUCCCCACAUACGGCCUUUUUCAGACUAUAGAUCACUUUCUCUCCACAUACCUCUCUUUGGAUCCUGAAAAUGUGAGGGAUAAUGCUGUUCAGAUCAGGUGCUAGAACCAGAACCCACCAGAUCUGGAUGCCUUCAAUGGAAAAGAAACCACAGUCCAGGAGGACCCACAGGAUCUCAGCAUAAGACAGCACAUGGCUCAGAAGGGUCAAACUGAGAAGCCCAACAAGCAAAGACAAGUUAUCCAGAUGUCAGCAACAUGGCUCCCAAGACUGAGAACUUCGAGGACCCCUUGAAACAGACCUCAUUUUCAGCCUGUUUGCAAGUUUUCAACAGAGACAACUCUUCUAGCAGCUUCUCCAAGGAUGAAGGGAUAUAUCUGAGCACCUCCAUGAAGUAACCCCUUGCCUCUUCAUCUAAGCCUGAUGAACAUAGGACUUUGCCUAACCAGCUACCUCCUCAGCAGAUGAGGCACAACUACCACUUAACCAACACUGUUUCUGCAGAAAUGGCCAGGAACAGGCAGCUAAUUUGGAAACUGGCCAAACAGUCAGAAGCACACCUGGACAGGCUAAUUGUACUUGGAGAAUGGGCAUUAGCCCAGCACGAACUUGCUAACAUUCUCCAUAGAGAAUUGGUGCUUGCAAUCAACCAACUGGCUGCAACUAUGAAAGGGACAGUUGGUUCCCUACGGCAAUUUAAUUAAAUCUUAGACCAUUUUCUGCAUCCCUGGAGGUCUUGAUCAAGAGGUUAUUGCUGAGAGAGGUUUUUGCUCACUCUUCUAGGCCUUUUAGGUUAAAUGUUCCAUACGGUAUAGUAGAGAGACCUGGUGCCAGAGGAAAAACAAGAACUCUGUCCAUCAGGGAUAACUUGAUGAGGUCAUAAUUUCCCUUUUUAAUACCCACUGCCGUUUAAAUGUGUGUUUUAGGGGCAUUUGUUAACUCAGUCACAGUCUCUAGUAGUUGUGAUUCCCAGUUCUGGGUGAACAAAAAGUUUUUUGGUUUUUUAAAAAUAUAUUUUUCUUGAUUUCAGAGAGGAAGGAAGAGGGAGAGAUAGAAACAUCAAUGAUGAGAGAGAAUCAUUGAUUAGCUGCCUCCUGCAUGCCCCCUACCGAGGAUCGAGCCUGCAACCCAGGCAUGUGCCCUUCACCAGAAUUAAACCUGGGAACCUUCAGUCCAAAGGCCGACACUCUAUCCACUGAGCCAAACCAGCUAGGGCAAAAAAUUUUUGUUUUAAUAUAAUUAUGAUCAAGCCACUAGAAUACAUAGUCAAGACUGUUUCUACUGCCAUGAUUUUUACAACCUGUCUGAUAUUUUUGCCCAUAUAGCCAAAAAAACUAGACUUAUGGAUGACAGACCAGGUUUUGUAUUGAGUAUGGGAGAAAUCAAAUAGGAAAAGGGAAUUAAUACUCUUUACCAAACUAUGAGAGGUGUACCUCUGAAUAAAGGUUUAUGAAAAAAACAAAUAGAGACUUUUACUAAAAGGAACCUCCAAAAUACAUUCCUUUCUCUGAGGAUUUAUCUCAUCUUCUCUGUGUAGGUGGACAUUUACACAUCUUAAACUUUUUAAAGGUGUAAAGCCCAUGCUGUCUCACCUCAUUUAAAAUGUUAUAUAUUUCUUUACUUAUUUUACAUAAAUCCAUCUUGCUGCAA